ACAGAGGGUGCGAGCGCUGUUCGGAAUUACUGGGCGUAAAGCGCGCGCAGGCGGCUCUUUAAGUCUACCCGUGAAAUGCCGGGGCUCAACCCCGUGCCCGCCACAGAUACUGGGAGGCUGGAGACGAGUAGAGGCAAGCGGAAUUCCGGAUGUAGCGGUGGAAUGCGUAGAGAUCCGGAAGAACACCGGAGGCGAAGGCGGCUUGCUGGGCUCGGUCUGACGCUGAGGCGCGAAAGCGUGGGGAGCGAACAGGA
rnacentral:rRNA from 1 species